rnacentral:rRNA from 1 species
GACGAACGCUGGCGGCGUGCUUAACACAUGCAAGUCGAACGGUAAGGCCCUUCGGGGUACACGAGUGGCGAACGGGUGAGUAACACGUGGGUGAUCUGCCCUGCACUUCGUGAUAAGCCUGGGAAACUGGGUCUAAUACCGGAUAGGACCACUGCCUGCAUGGGUGGUGGUGGAAAGCUUUUGCGGUGUGGGAUGGGCCCGCGGCCUAUCAGCUUGUUGGUGGGGUGAUGGCCUACCAAGGCGACGACGGGUAGGCGGCCUGGGAGGGUGACCGGCCACACUGGGAACGAGAUACGGCCCAGACUCAGACGGGAGGGAGCAGGGGGGAAUAUUGCGCAAUGGGCGCAGGCCUGGUGCAGCGAAGCCGCGUGAGGGAUGACGGCCUUCGGGUUGUAAACCUCUUUCAGCACCGACGAAGCGCAAGUGACGGUAGGUGCAGAAGAAGGACCGGCCAACUACGUGCCAGCCGCCGCAGUAA